rnacentral:lncRNA from 1 species
AAAGGUUAAACUCUUUAUGCUUAAGGGGCUGACACUAUACAAUUGAAGGAUGACAAACACACCAAUCCUAUAUGAGGAAAUAGUAUCACCGUAGCAGGGGAUCAGAAAUAAGAAAUCAAAUGCAAUAAAAUGCAUAGUGAAAAUAUAUGAUGCUAUGUUUUAUGCAUGAAUAUGCAUGUAUAUGAUUAUAAUUAUGUUGUAAAAACAAUCACAAAGGAUACAAAUAUCCCAGAUUUGAAUCAUCGU